CUGUUGCAGUUUCUAGACUUAUGGCUUCCAAGACGAGAUUGAAAGUGAAUGCGCCAUAAAUAAAGGUCAGUGCCUGUUGUGUAAACACCUCAUGUAAAGAAAUAUUCAUCAGCCUACUUUCUACAGAGGAUUAAAUGCAUUCCUGUUGGUCCAUCAUAUCAUUCGCCCGCUCCUGUGAGUACAGUUGACCUAAACCUUCAUAAAUACUGGGACAUUUUUAUUGUUGCUUUUGUUUUUCCGCUGCAGAUGAAUUUCAAGAUUUUACCAGUCACAUAACAGUGCAGCUUUACUCCCAUGUGAGUCUUAACCACAACUAUCGAUCCACGAGCUGAAGCUCACUGGUUCUCAUGGGAUGGGAUGCGUUAAAGGCUUACUGAAUUAUUAAGUCUGAUGGACUAAAUUCUGACUUAGUGUAACGUGCACGUGCCUUUAAAUAAUAUUUUCCACCGGACACGUCGCAGAACGCUGCAACUGGGUUCAAACUAAUAGGCUUAAAAUAACACACUUUUAUAGAAGCUACUAGCCUGAUAAAGUUAGAUCACAUCACAUCUGUCUCAAGCAUCUAUCUCACGCUAUUAAACUCACAGCCUCAACUUUAAUCCGAACAUAAACAGGUUUAAACUCUGACUCGAACCAACUGUGACAGUAACUAGAUUCCCGGUGUGUUUCUCCCAAAAUGUCGACGUCCUGCGCGCAUCACACUUCGCUCAAGUCAGUGUCUGCGCGGGUCUAAUGAGUCAUGACACCACCAGAGCCUAAAGGCGUCCUCCCACGCUUCUCCAGCCCACUCCUGCCUCUAUUUGAGGCGCUCCUCUGCUCCAGCCCUCAGAGCAGCAGGCGCCCAGUCAGCGCAGCUCUCUCCUGCCGCUGCGGAGCGACGGGAGUUGCGUUUCCCCGCAUUGUUCAGGCUUCUCGUCACUCGGCCAAGAUGAGACUCAUCGUCGUCCUCGUCGGAGCUCUGCUGGCAGAAAAUCUAGCGCUUCCAGUAGGAAAGGAAGGGCAGAGGGACGAUGCGAUGACACAGUGUUUGGUUGAGGUCCUGUCCAAAGUUCUGUCCAAACCAGGCUCCCAGCUGGACCAGGAAUGCAAAGAGAUUCUCCGAGCAGGAGUUAAACGUGCCCCACUGGACACGAAGAGUGGGGAGGGAACAGUAACUCAAGAGGAGGUGAUUAACAGUCAUGCUGUGCAGCCUGAUGCAAAGGCAGCAGAUGUCCAAGACAUCGAGGCACUCCUAAAGACUGUAGAGGAAAAGAGGGAAAACCCAGAAGAUGAGCGCAGUCAGGAAUCUUGGAGUCUCGGUGAUGAGAAGGACAAAAGACACGAGAACCAAAAGGAGGAGGAAGAGCGAGAGAAAAGGAGCAGCUGGAGACCGGGAAGAUUCCACCAAAAAAAACAUAAACGAGACGAGGACAACGAGCGCAGUCAAGAGAGCUGGGGGACAGAAGAAAAGAGGGAUGAGGAGGAAGGGGAAGGUGAGGAGAGAGAGAAGAGGAAAUGGAAACCUGGCAGGUAUCACCAGAAAAAACAGAAACGAGACGAGGAACCUGAAGACGAAGAGCGGGAAGAGCCGGAGGAAGAACGUAGCCAAGAGUCUUGGGAUGUAGAUAAAAGGCACGGGAAUGAGGAUCAGGAGGAAAGAUACAAGCGCAUAUGGAAACCCACACAUCGCUACCACCACAAGAAAAAGUUCCACAAACGCAGUGACGAACCAUCAGACGGGGAAGAAUACGACGAUCGCAGCCAGGAAUCUUGGGGUCUUGAUGAAAUGGACAAGAGGGAAUGGAGACCUGGCAGGUACCACCAGAGGAGGCACAAACGCGAUGAAGAGCUCUCAGAUGAAGAAGCCAGAGAGGAGCCAGAUGAAGAACGAAGCCAGGAAUACUGGGAUUUUGAUACUGGAAGGGAAAAAAGAAACUGGAGGCCUGGCAGGUACCACCAGAGGAGGCACAAACGUGACGAAGAGCUCUCGGAAGAAAAGAGGGAAGAUCCAGAUGAAGAUCGAAGCCAGGAAUACUGGGAUUUUGAUACUGGAAGGGAAAAAAGGAACUGGCGACCCGGCAGGUACCACCAGAGGAGAACCAAACGUGAUGAAGAGCUCUCGGAAGAAAAGAGGGAAGAUCCAGAUGAAGAUCGAAGCCAGGAAUACUGGGAUUUUGAUACUGGAAGGGAAAAAAGAAACUGGCGACCCGGCAGGUACCAUCAGAGGAGAACCAAACGUGAUGAAGAGCUCUCGGAAGAAAAGAGGGAAGAUCCAGAUGAAGAUCGAAGCCAGGAAUACUGGGAUUUUGAUACUGGAAGGGAAAAAAGGAACUGGCGACCCGGCAGGUACCACCAGAGGAGAACCAAACGUGAUGAAGAGCUCUCAGAAGAAAAGAGGGAAGAGCCAGAAGAAGAGCGCAGCCAGGAGUACUGGGGCUUCGAGAAAAGGCACGAAAAGGAAGACGGUGAAAUUGAAAAGCGCAUAUGGAAACCAACACACCGAUACCAUCACAAGAAGAAGCUCCACAAACGUGGCGGAGGCUCCUCUGAAGAGGAGGGCGAAGAGCAGAGGGGGGAUUCUGAGGAAUACAAAGAGGCUGCGAAGAGCAGGGAUGAAGCUCUGAGGUAUCUGGCAGAGAAGCGCAACCCCUGGAUCAGCAGAGGCUACUACCACCCGGCCUGGUUCAAAAGGGAUUCAGACAAACAGGCUGCAUCCUCAACCAAGAUGGAUGACCUGGCCAGCUUGCUGAGCUACAGGGUGAACGAGGUGAACCAUGCAAAUCCAGACGAGGCCAAAGUGAGAAUUCAUCAGCGAGCGCUCAGUCCACAAGAGGAGAAAGAGCUGGAGAACCUGGCUGCAAUGGACAUGGAGUUGCAGAAAAUCGCCGCCAAGUUGCAUGAGAACAGCGCAUAAGUGACAUUAUCAGCUACUGUACGUCUGCCAGUGUAGUGUGUUUAAAGUAGAAGUGUGAAGAAAAACAUAAAAAAAUAAGACCUGAAACUCUACAGCCUUGCUUUAAACUGGUUUUAUCAUUGUCGUUGUGCUAUUUAAAUGUUAGCUUAAUGCGCAUGGGAAUGGCCUUGAUGUUUAUACAUGAAGAGAAAAUUUAA
rnacentral:lncRNA from 1 species